rnacentral:tRNA from 2 species
GUCCCCGUAGCUCAGCUGGAUAGAGCGUCCCCCUCCUAAGGGUAAGGUCGCAGGUUCGAAUCCUGCCGGGGACG